AUGGAUCUCACAAUGGAUGACAGUAAGCUUAAUUCCCCAGGACAUCUGCCAGAGAGUGAUGGUAGAGGCAGGCAGUGGUGCAUGCGGCUUCAACAGCUACUGCAGCUUCGAUGGCACCCAGAAUCAGACAACAAUAUGCCGAUGCCCAGAACAUUACAAGUUCUUCGACGACGAGAGAAAAUACAAAGGGUGCAUGCCAGACUUUGA
rnacentral:rRNA from 1 species